CUGCUCUAUGAUUAUUUUAUUUAAAUGGCUGCAGUAUUUUGACUGUACAAAGGUAGCAUAAUAAUUAGUUUUUUAAUUGAGAACUUGUAUGAAUGAAGAUAUAAGGGGUUUAUUUUAUUGGUUUUAAUUUUUGAAUUUAAUUUUUUGGUUAAAAAGCUAAAUAGUUUUUUAGGGACGAGAAGACCCUAUAGAACUUUAAAUUUAAGAAUUAAAUUUACUUUUGUUAAUUAAUUUAAUUUAAUUUAUUAAAUUUUUAAUUGGGGUGAUUAAUAAAUUUUAUAUCUUUAUUUUUUAAUUUCAUUUAUAUUUGUAAUUUUUGAUCCUAUUUAUUAGAUUAUAAGAAAAGUUACCUUAGGGAUAACAGCGUAAUUUAAAUGGAAAGUUCAUAUUUAUAUUUAAGUUUGCGACCUCGAUGUUGAAUUAAGGGUAAAUUAGGGUGUAGAAGCUUUGAUUAUAAGUCUGUUCGACUUUUAUAUUCUUACA
rnacentral:rRNA from 1 species